rnacentral:rRNA from 1 species
AACGAACGCUGGCGGCAGGCUUAACACAUGCAAGUCGAGCGCCCCGCAAGGGGAGCGGCAGACGGGUGAGUAACGCGUGGGAAUCUACCCAUCUCUACGGAAUAACGCAUGGAAACGUGUGCUAAUACCGUAUACGUCCUUCGGGAGAAAGAUUUAUCGGAGAUGGAUGAGCCCGCGUUGGAUUAGCUAGUUAGUGGGGUAAAGGCCUACCAAGGCGACGAUCCAUAGCUGGUCUGAGAGGAUGACCAGCCACACUGGGACUGAGACACGGCCCAGACUCCUACGGGAGGCAGCAGUGGGGAAUAUUGGACAAUGGGCGCAAGCCUGAUCCAGCCAUGCCGCGUGAGUGAUGAAGGCCCUAGGGUUGUAAAGCUCUUUCACCGGUGAAGAUAAUGACGGUAACCGGAGAAGAAGCCCCGGCUAACUUCGUGCCAGCAGCCGCCGUAAUAC